CCUACGGGAGGCAGCAGUGGGGAAUAUUGCACAAUGGGGGAAACCCUGAUGCAGCGACGCCGCGUGAGUGAAGAAGUAAUUCGUUAUGUAAAGCUCUAUCAGCAGGGAAGAAAAUGACGGUACCUGAGUAAGAAGCCCCGGCUAACUACGUGCCAGCAGCCGCGGUAAUACGUAGGGGGCAAGCGUUAUCCGGAUUUACUGGGUGUAAAGGGAGCGUAGACGGGAGUGCAAGUCUGGAGUGAAAGGCGGGGGCUCAACCCCCGGACUGCAAUGGAAACUGUACGGCUGGAGUGCAGGAGAGGUAAGUGGAAUUCCUGGUGUAGCGGUGAAAUGCGUAGAUAUUAGGAAGAACCCCAGUGGCGAAGGCGGCUUACUAGACUGUAACUGACGUUGAGGCUCGAAAGUGUGGGGAGCAAACAGGAUUAGAUACCCUUUUAGUC
rnacentral:rRNA from 1 species